ACGACCUUACUUGAACAGGAUCUGUUCUAUAGGCUCGUACCUCUGUUUCCUUGAUUUCUCAAGAGACAGGCCCUUAAUCCUGGUUGAUGAACCAUGACUGUGCGAUCAGAGCGUGAUUAACGGCCACGAUCAUCUUUGGACGCAUCCGGUGCUGUAGAGGAUCGUUACUUGGCUCGGUUCUACCUUGCCGGGGAGGUCGCACGGCGGUCUGACAGGUU
rnacentral:snoRNA from 1 species